GAAAAUAUUUCGCUCGCGCAGCACCGUCGAAUCUCGGCUCGAUUAUUAACAGCGGAUCGCCGGCACUUCCUAAAAUUACACAAACUCCCGCUGAGCCGUUUUGAGCGCACAUACCGAGCGACACAGACGACGCCGGAGAAGCGAGGGAGGAUGACCGAUUGGAUAGACUCACCGGAUUCGGCGCAGGGUCGAAGCUACUGUCCGGAAAUAGUCUUAUAACUCGAUGGAAAAGUGAGCGUACAUUACUGGCUAGUAGUGGUGUCAGACACAAAUUCGCUAUCUCGUGGCUAGACACCGACGAGGUUCAAUUUCUACUAAGGACAAAACAUAAACUCAUAUAGAGCGCCUGCUUUUAAUUUUGAAGAAUGCGAUUCUUUUACGGAUUACAAUUUAUGAACCAGUGGGAAGAGAGUUGAAUCACGAUGA